rnacentral:rRNA from 1 species
UACGUAAGUGGCAAGCGUUGUCCGGAUUUACUGGGCGUAAAGAGCGCGCAGGCGGUCGUUCAAGUCGCGUGUGAAAGCCCCCCGGCUCAACUGGGGAGGGUCACGCGAUACUGAUCGACUCGAAGGCAGGAGAGGGUAGUGGAAUUCCCGGUGUAGUGGUGAAAUGCGUAGAUAUCGGGAGGAACACCAGUGGCGAAGGCGACUACCUGGCUGUUCUUGACGCUGAGGCGCGAAAGCGUGGGGAGCGAACGAGG